GACGAACGCUGGCGGCGUGCUUAACACAUGCAAGUCGAACGAAGAGCGAUGGAAGCUUGCUUCUAUCAAUCUUAGUGGCGAACGGGUGAGUAACGCGUAAUCAACCUGCCCUUCAGAGGGGGACAACAGUUGGAAACGACUGCUAAUACCGCAUACGAUCUAAUCAUGGCAUCGAGGAUAGAUUAUAGGUGGCCUCUACAUGUAAGCUAUCACUUCAGGAGGGGAUUGCGUCUGAUUAGCUCGUUGGAGGGGUAAAGUACCAACAAGGCGAUGAUCAGUAGCCGGUCUGAGAGGAUGAACGGCCGCAUUGGGACUGAGACACGGCCCAGACUCCUACGGGAGGCAGCAGUGGGGAAUCGUCCGCAAUGGACGAAAGUCUGACGGAGCAACGCCGCGUGAGUGAUGACGGCCUUCGGGUUGUAAAGCUCUGUUAAUCGGGACGAAAGGCCUUCUUGCGAAUAGUGAGAAGGAUUGACGGUACCGGAAUAGAAAGCCACGGCUAACUACGUG
rnacentral:rRNA from 1 species